UGCAGGUUGCACUAUGUACAUACAGUAACCUCUGCAGACCCAAGUGUGCGUCCGAGCAGCCUAGUGUGUGUGUGUGUGUGUGUGUGUGUGAUGCGUAAAGGGGGGAGUUAUGCAUGCAGUGGGCUUCCCGGGGCACGCAGAUGUGCGAGUGUGUAGGACUAAGCCCUGGCGAAGCCCGCUGCGAGAGGUCACGACCUUUACAGAAUCAGUGCCUCUGCAUUUUGGGACUAAUGGAAGGGCCCCACCAGCUGCACAGAGAAGAGGAAGAGGAGAGGAAAGGAGAAAAGAUGAAAGACUGAGGAGGAUUGAAACAACGAGGAAACAAAGACUAAAGAGAUGUGAGAGAAAGCGAAACGAGGAGCAACAGCAAAUGCGAGCUGCACACAGUGCCACUGUGUGCCCACCAUGACCAGACACCCCGCUUCCUCUCCUGCCGUGACCCGGAGACGGCAGUCGGGCCCAUCUGUGCCACGUUGUGCUGUUGUUCCAGCAGACGGCUUCCCCCGUGACAUCACCACAGCCAGACGGUGAUGCAGCCUGCGGUACGGGACACGCUGACGCCGCGUCUGCUACUUCAUUCGCCGGGCGUCCAGUGGCUGUGUGGUGUGACGUGUUAUUCGUUCUUAUGGAGGGUUAGAUUUUACUGCAACAUUCGAACAACAACUAAAAAACCUGUGCAGGACAAGAUGGGAUAUUAUAGAGCAAAUGUGCGGCUUGAUCAUUAAUUCAUUUUUUUCAUUUUUUUAAUUUAAAUCCCAAGUGAAAAUGUUUGACCCUGCUGUUAUAGAGAUGUGGAGCUCAGCGCUGAAGGACGAACCUGUUGAAGAGACGUGGCAGAGCAACAGGUGGCAGAUCACAGAGUUAGAGUGACACCUACAGAGCUCAGGGGGGAAAAACACCAGCCGCAACUCAGUGUGGGAUUUGGCCCUGGUGCCUUUAGAUGUUUCUGCAGGGACACUUCAUGAAUCGCCGCUUAUGAAUCCUUAGCUAAUUUACAUCGCUUUUUCCCAUUUUAAAUGCUAAAUCACUAAACCCAACAGGGGAUAUUCCACGUGUCAAACGGGGGAGAAAGAAAACUCAGGGACAUUGAAUUAUUAUCAUUAUUUACUGUUAUUUCCUCGUAUCUGUAUUUUUGUAUUUAAUGUAGAGCCAUCUAUUUCAAACAAAAUCCCAAAGGUUAGAGUAUCGGUAUAAUUGUCCA
ensembl:lncRNA